UGGUUCCAGCAUCGAUGAAGAACGCAGCGAAAUGCGAUAAGUAAUGUGAAUUGCAGAAUUCCGUGAAUCAUCGAGUUUUUGAACGCACAUUGCGCCCCUUGGUAUUCCGAGGAGCACGUCUGUUUGAGCGUCAUUACAACUAUCAACAGGUUUUGGAUUUUGCCUGGCAAUUUCUUAACCACAUCACGAAAUAGCAGGGAAAACUCUCGCUGCUUCGAUACACUUUCGACCAGUUGACCUCAAAUCAGACGGGGAUACCCGCUGA
rnacentral:misc_RNA from 1 species